rnacentral:rRNA from 1 species
CCUACGGGAGGCAGCAGUAAGGAAUAUUGGACAAUGGAGGCAACUCUGAUCCAGCCAUGCCGCGUGAAGGAAUAAGGCCCUAUGGGUUGUAAACUUCUUUUAGACGGGACAAAACCCCUUUACGUGUAAAGGGUUGAUGGUACUGUCAGAAUAAGCAUCGGCUAACUUCGUGCCAGCAGCCGCGGUAA